UCAAGUUAUUAAGGGUGUAGGGCGGAUGCCUUGGCACUAGGAGCCGAUGAAAGACGUGAUAAGCUGCGAUAAGCUUCGGGGAGUGGCACAUACACUUUGAUCCGGAGAUUUCUGAAUGAGGAAACUCACUUGGAGUAAUGUCCAAGUAUCCAUAGGUGAAUACAUAGCCUAUGGAGGGGAACUCAGGGAACUGAAACAUCUAAGUACCUGAAGGAAGAGAAAGAAAUUCGAUUCCGCUAGUAGCGGCGAGCGAACGCGGAAGAGCCCAAACCAAGUCAGUUUACUGAUUUGGGGUUGCGGACAUAUCUUAAGGAAAGGUUAUUGCGAGUAGAAUAGGUCUGGAAAGACCAACCACAGAGGGUAAAAGUCCCGUAUACAAAGCCAAGAAAGUUCUUGAUAUGAUCCAGAGUACCACGAGACACGUGAAACCUUGUGGGAAGCAGGGGGGACCACCCCCCAAGGCUAAAUACUACCUAGUGACCGAUAGCGAAUAGUACCGUGAGGGAAAGGUGAAAAGAACCCCGGGAGGGGAGUGAAAUAGAACCUGAAACCCUACACUUACAAGCUGUGGGAGCGCAUUAUUCGCGUGACCGCGUACUUUUUGUAGAACGGGCCAACGAGUUACGUUAUGUGGCAAGGUUAAGCACUUAAGGUGUGGAGCCGAAGCGAAAGCGAGUCUUAACUGGGCGCCAUAGUCACAUGACGUAGACCCGAAACCGGGCGACCUACCCAUGAGCAGGAUGAAGCGAAAGUAAAAUUUCGUGGAGGUCCGAACCCACGUACGUUGAAAAGUGCGGGGAUGACUUGUGGGUAGCGGUGAAAUUCCAAUCGAGCUCGGAGAUAGCUGGUUCUCCCCGAAAUAGCUUUAGGGCUAGCCUUGAAAUUUAGAGAUGUGGAGGUAGAGCACUGAAUGUCCUAGGGGGUAUUGCACUUACCGAAGACUAUCAAACUCCGAAUGCCAUUAUCUUUUGUUCAGGAGUCAGACUAUGGGUGAUAAGGUUCAUAGUCGAAAGGGAAAGAGCCCAGACCGUCAGCUAAGGUCCCUAAAUGUAUGUUAAGUGGUAAAGGAUGUGGGAUUGCACAGACAACCAGGAUGUUGGCUUAGAAGCAGCCACUCAUUUAAAGAGUGCGUAAUAGCUCACUGGUCGAGUGAUCCUGCGCCGAAGAUUUCCGGGGCUAAAACAUACUACCGAAGCUACGGCAUCAUAUGAUGAUGGGUAGGGGAGCUUCCCAUGCAGGCUGAAGCGAUACCGUAAGGAGUCGUGGACAGUAUGGGAGAGAGAAUGUUGGCAUGAGUAGCGAGAUGAGGGUGAGAAUCCCUCAGGCCGUAAACCCAAGGUUUCCAGGGGAAGGUUCGUCCUCCCUGGGUUAGUCGGGACCUAAGCUCAGGCCGAAAGGCGUAGGCGAUGGACAACAGGUUGAGAUUCCUGUACUACCGAUAAUCGUUUGAGAGAAGGGAUGACACAGUAGGAUAAGCUGAGCACACUGUUGGUUAUGUGUGUCUAAGCGUUGAGGCAGACUAGAUAGGCAAAUCCGUUUAGUUAAUGCUGGGGCGCGAUGGGGAGCGAAACUAAGUAGCGAAGCAGCUGAUUUCACACUGUCGAGAAAAGUCUCUAUCGAGAUUAAAGGUACCCGUACCGCAAACCGACACAGGUGGGUGAGGAGAGUAUCCUAAGGCCAGCGAGAGAACUGUUGUUAAGGAACUCGGCAAAAUGACCCCGUAACUUAGGGAUAAGGGGUGCCCCAGCAAUGGGGCCGCAGAGAAUUGGCCCAAGCGACUGUUUACCAAAAACAUAGGUUUCUGCUAAGUCGCAAGACGAUGUAUAGGAGCUGACGCCUGCCCGGUGCUGGAAGGUUAAGGGGAUCUGUUAGAGCAAUCGAAGCAGUGAUCUUAAGCCCCAGUAAACGGCGGCCGUAACUAUAACGGUCCUAAGGUAGCGAAAUUCCUUGUCGGGUAAGUUCCGACCCGCACGAAAGGCGUAACGAUUUGGGCACUGUCUCAACGA
rnacentral:rRNA from 1 species